rnacentral:rRNA from 1 species
AUACGUAGGGAGCGAGGCGUUGUCCGGAUUUACUGGGUGUAAAGGGUGCGUAGGCGGGACUGCAAGUCAGACGUGAAAUACCGAGGCUUAACCUCGGGGCUGCGUUUGAAACUGUAGUUCUUGAGUGAAGUAGAGGCAGGCGGAAUUCCUAGUGUAGCGGUGAAAUGCGUAGAUAUUAGGAGGAACACCAGUGGCGAAGGCGGCCUGCUGGGCUUUAACUGACGCUGAUGCACGAAAACAUGGGGAGC